GAUGAACGCUAGCUACAGGCUUAACACAUGCAAGUCGCGGGGCAGCAUGGGGGUUGCUUGCCACCCCUGAUGGCGACCGGCGCACGGGUGAGUAACGCGUAUCCAACCUGCCCUUCACCACGCUAUAACCCGGCGAAAGUCGGACCAAUACCGUAUGUUUUCCAUUUACUGCAUCCUAUUUGGACGCAAGGCUUGGGGGUGAACUCGCGGGUCUGCGUCCGAUUAGCUUGACGGCGGGUUAACGGCCCACCGUGGCGUCGAUUGGUAGGGGUUCUGAGCGGAAGGGGCCUCACACGGGAACUGAGACACGGGCGAGAGUCCUACGGGAGGCAGCAGUGAGGAAUAUUGGUGAAGGGGCGUAAGCCUGAACCAGCGAAGUAGGGUGCAGGAUGACGGCGCGAGGGGUGGUAAACUGCUUGUAGGAGGGGAUAAAGUGGCCCACGUGUGGGCUUUUGCAGGUACUGCAUGAAUAAGGACCGGCUAAUUCCGUG
rnacentral:rRNA from 1 species